rnacentral:rRNA from 1 species
GGUUAUUAGGGGUAAUUAAUAAUCUUGCCUGCUCAAUGCUUAAAGUAAAUGGCUGCAGUAUUUUGACUGUACUAAGGUAGCAUAAUCAAUAGUCUUUUUAUUGGAGGCUGGAAUGAAAGGUUAAGACUAUAAAGAUGGUUUUGUUAAUUUAUUUUGAAUUUAGAUUAAAAAUAAAAAUAUUUUUAUAAAUCCUUGGGACGAGAAGACCCUAGAAGCUUUAUGCUGAUGUAUUUUAGUUGGGGUGACUAAUGAAGAUAAAAAUCUUUAAUUUUGGGAUAUAGAUUAAUUUUAAGUUACUCUAGGGAUAACAGCGUUAUUUAGUUAAUGAGUUCUUAUUUAAAAUUAAGGUUGCGACCUCGAUGUUGAAUUAAAGUAAAAGUAAGGUGAAGGAGCUUUAUAUUUUAGUCUGUUCGACUAUUAAAUUUUUACA